rnacentral:rRNA from 1 species
AGAGCUUGCUCUCGGGUGACGAGCGGCGGACGGGUGAGUAAUGUCUGGGAAACUGCCUGAUGGAGGGGGAUAACUACUGGAAACGGUAGCUAAUACCGCAUAAUGUCGCAAGACCAAAGUGGGGGACCUUCGGGCCUCAUGCCAUCAGAUGUGCCCAGAUGGGAUUAGCUAGUAGGUGGGGUAACGGCUCACCUAGGCGACGAUCCCUAGCUGGUCUGAGAGGAUGACCAGCCACACUGGAACUGAGACACGGUCCAGACUCCUACGGGAGGCAGCAGUGGGGAAUAUUGCACAAUGGGCGCAAGCCUGAUGCAGCCAUGCCGCGUGUGUGAAGAAGGCCUUCGGGUUGUAAAGCACUUUCAGCGGGGAGGAAGGCGUUAAGGUUAAUAACCUUGGCGAUUGACGUUACCCGCAGAAGAAGCACCGGCUAACUCCGUGCCAGCAGCCGCGGUAAUACGGAGGGUGCAAGCGUUAAUCGGAAUUACUGGGCGUAAAGCGCACGCAGGCGGUCUGUCAAGUCGGAUGUGAAAUCCCCGGGCUCAACCUGGGAACUGCAUUCGAAACUGGCAGGCUAGAGUCUUGUAGAGGGGGGUAGAAUUCCAGGUGUAGCGGUGAAAUGCGUAGAGAUCUGGAGGAAUACCGGUGG